GACGAACGCUGGCGGCGUGCUUAACACAUGCAAGUCGAACGGAAAGGCCCUGCUUGCAGGGUACUCGAGUGGCGAACGGGUGAGUAACACGUGGGUGAUCUGCCCUGCACUUCGGGAUAAGCCUGGGAAACUGGGUCUAAUACCGGCUAGGAGCCAUUUUUAGUGUGAUGGUUGGAAAGUUUAUUCGGUGUAGGAUGAGCUCGCGGCCUAUCAGCUUGUUGGUGGGGUAAUGGCCUACCAAGGCGGCGGCGGGUAGCCGGCCUGAGAGGGUGGACGGCCACAUUGGGACUGAGAUGCGGCCCAGACUCCUACGGGAGGCAGCAGGGGGGAAUAUUGCACAAUGGGCGCAAGCCUGAUGCAGCGACGCCGCGUGGGGUAUGACGGCCUUCGGGUUGUAAACUCCUUUCGCUAGGGACGAAGCUUUUUGUGACGGUACCUAGACAAGAAGCACCGGCUAACUACGUG
rnacentral:rRNA from 1 species